rnacentral:rRNA from 1 species
GACGUAGGGCGCAAGCGUUGUCCGGAUUUAUUGGCGUAAAGAGCUCGUAGGCGGCUUGUCGCGUCGACUGUGAAACCUGCGGCUCAACCGUAUGGUCUGCAGUCGAUACGGCAGGCUAGAGUUCGGUAGGGAGACUGGAAUUCCGUGGUGUAGCGGUGAAAUGCGCAGAUAAUCAGGAGGAACACCGGUGGCGAAGGCGGAUCUCUGGCCUUGCCUGACGCUGAGGCGCGAAAGCUAGGGGAGCGAACAGG